rnacentral:rRNA from 1 species
GAUCCUGGCUCAGGAUGAACGCUAGCUACAGGCUUAACACAUGCAAGUCGAGGGGCAGCAUUGGAGUAGCAAUACUCAGAUGGCGACCGGCGCACGGGUGAGUAACACGUAUCCAACCUGCCGCUUACUCGGGGAUAGCCUUUCGAAAGAAAGAUUAAUACCCGAUGGUAUAAAGAGUUCGCAUGUUCUCUUUAUUAAAGAAUUUCGGUAAGCGAUGGGGAUGCGUUCCAUUAGAUAGUUGGCGGGGUAACGGCCCACCAAGUCUACGAUGGAUAGGGGUUCUGAGAGGAAGGUCCCCCACAUUGGAACUGAGACACGGUCCAAACUCCUACGGGAGGCAGCAGUGAGGAAUAUUGGUCAAUGGACGAGAGUCUGAACCAGCCAAGUAGCGUGAAGGAUGACUGCCCUAUGGGUUGUAAACUUCUUUUAUAAGGGAAUAAAGUGAGGGACGUGUCCCUUUUUGUAUGUACCUUAUGAAUAAGGAUCGGCUAACUCCGUGCCAGCAGCAGC